ACUUUCUCAAAGCUGAAAAUACAUGAAAAUGAUUAUCCUCAAAUACAAUAUACUCAUGUUAUGUAGUAGAAUUGGCAACACAAUCCAACUAUUUGAAACACACUCUAGAAGUUAUAAAAGAAAGCAAAAUGCAGUGUAGAACUUAUGAGUACUCUGGAAUCAGAUUGCCCAGGUUCAAAUCCCUGUUAUGACCUUUUUAGCUGGCUCUCUGUAGGCAAGUUACUUAUCUUUUUAUGUUUCCUUCCCUAUAAAAUAGGAAUAAUAACACUACCUACCUCACGGGGUUGGGCUGAGGAAUAAGUGAGAUAUUGCAUGUAAAAUGCUUAAAAGUAAACAGUAGUGUAUCUAUUUUACAGAUGAUGAAGCCAAGACACAGAUUGGGACUUUAGAACUAAAGUAACACUGCUACUAAGCCCUGCAACCUUGGACAACUCCAAAUCCUCACUCUUUCUCCACAUUACCUGCUUGAUUUGUAUUGCUGGAGAUAUGAUCAUGGAUACGACACUGGCCCUGUCUUCAAGAUCAACACAUUGAAAAGGGUGGAGGAAAGAGACUUUUGAGUCCCUUGUCACGGAGAAGACAGAGCCACGGCCAGGGUUUCUGACUGUUCUAUAAAGUGCCUUCAGAGUUCCUCCGAGGAGCCACAGGAGCUACUGCUGGGGCUGUGGGCCGGCCAAGCAGGUUUUUCCUCAUUUAUGAGCUGUGAACCUCAACUAACUUACAGCUGGUUGUAGAAGAGUGAUCACUUGUAUUUCUGCUAGCAAGUGCUCUGCAGGAUAAAGGGUGAGUAACAUGCUAUAUAGAUAGGUGAAAAUCACACUGUUUCCUCAGUCUUGAAUACUUACAUGGAAAUAUCCAAAAUUUAUCAAGCCAUAUAUAGACUGUUAUCACAUCAAUUCAAUUUUUAAAGUUUCUUAGGAAUUGGCCUACUUUCUGUCCUAUAGCUCUAUUUUUAAAAAAUAAUUUGUUUAAUUAAUCUCAUAGAACUUCACUUAUUUUAAAAGCAAUUAAAAAACUGCAUACUAAAUUCAUAACAGCUUUCUAAAAAUUGCCUAUAAUUAUUGUUCAUUUGCCUAUAUUUAUUAUUAUUGAUUUAAUCAGAAGAGAUUAUUAAGUGGAUACAUCCUAUAGCUUGGGAAUUAAAGAAUGACAAAAAGGGGGAUUUAAAACUGUUGCUGAACUACAAGAGAUCUACUGAUUUUGCUCAACAUCCCAGUGCUGACUGAAAUAGAGUGUCCCUGUUUUGAUGGCCUACCUGUUCGAUCUUGCACUUUUUGGUUAGUGAUGGUAAAAGAAAUUGGUGAAGUUGAAUGUAAAGAACAGCCAAGAAUGGUUUAACAGAAUCUUGCCAGAGUCUGGCAGAAACCCUGCUCGCUCCCCAUUUUGUCCACCUUUAAACUUGCCAAGCCUUGUUCACUUUGGCUUUAUUUUAAAAAUGCAUUUCUGGUGAGUAAGGAAAGGUUUUGUACUGUGUUUUCAAUGACUCACCCAAAAUAACUCCAUUCAACUUGUGAAGGGUCCUGUUCUGAAUGCAGAUUGUGUUUGUUCUGAGAUGGGCAUGAAGGCGCUGCAGAAGGGAGAUUAGAGAAGGGAAGUGUGAUGGGAGAGGCCAGUGCAGGUCAGGCACACAUCGGAACGAUUUUAAAAAAGACAUUGUGUGUAUGUGUGUGCAUGUUUUAAAAACACAUUUAUAAGGUCUGUACCAUUUAAAGCUUCAAAAAAUACAUGAGUAUGAGAUACAUGGUCCAUCUAGUCACUAACUUCAUGUUUUUGACCCUCAUAAAAUGUAGGAGACACUUACUUGUACAUAUAUAAUUCCAAAGGUAUGCAUAAUGAAAUGAUAAAAAUUUUUUAAUAGUUCUAAAUGGCUUCAUGUAGGAAGUAAUCAUACAUGAUAUAAGAGCUAGAAAUAAUCUUAAAUUAGGAAGAAAAUGUAUAUUAAUAAAUUGAUCACAUAAUAGGACAGUGUUAAAACUGGGAAAUGCAAUAAUGACAUCCUCCUGUUUUGUUGUGAACUGCAGAAAAAUGUUUACUUUCAAGGGGUGUAGGUUGAGCACUUGAUAGUGAAAGAUAUAUCCCUUGAGAAGUUUAUAUGAUUCGAAAUGUCAGAGAUCUUUGAAAGCAAUAUUUUAGGGUAGGACUAAAAGGAAAAAAUAAAGGACAGACCUAACCUUGAGCAGUGAGACUUCACAGCUGAAUUAAAAGCAUUUUGUUAUUCUUAUGUGUAACUUUGUCCAGAUAGGAGGAUUUCAAAACCUCUUUUGAGUUGUUUCAGUAAUUCAUUAAACAGACCAAAUAAAGCUUAUUCUGUUAUAUAAUCUUGCUUCAUGCCAUUGUUCAUGAAGAAUAGAUGAGCCAUUCUUACCUGUUGCUCAGAAACACCAAAUAAUUGAGCCACUGAAAAGAAAAACUCUCCAUUAGGCUUUACCACGGAGAGGGUAAAUUUAGCAUUAUGUAGCAAAAUGAAGAAAUUGUGACCUGGAAAAGAUGAAACAAGGGAUAAAAUUGUAAAUUUUCAACAUGCACAAAAUCAGAAAGUAUAUAAACAUACCCAGAUUAUGUAAGUAAUUUUCAGGGUAAAGUUCCUGCGGUAUUAACACCUGCUUCUCCUUCCGUUGUGAACUUGGGAAAAUAAGGGAAAUCAAAAUACCAGAUUGUUAUGCUCUAUUAAUGUUUCCUUAUGAAGAUGGUGAACUAGUAUAAUAAUCUGUGAAUUUUUGCUAAUGUGAAAGAAUAUAUAAUAGGUGUAAUUAUAGACCUUAAGUAUGCAAUUUUGUUACUUUAAAGUAUAUACAAAAAACCAGCCCUGGCUGAUGUGGCUCAGUGGAUUGAGCGCCAACCUACGAACCA